CCAUUGAUGACGUCAGAUUGAGUGGUUGUCCUUGUUAAUUACUGCAUUGCAUGCAGCCGUUGUGAAUUGUACACUCUCUCCUACGCAAACUAGGCCAUUUCCAAGUAUCAGAUGAAACGCUACAAACAAAUACUUUUCUGUUUGAUAGGAAAUAAUGAACGUUUUUUAUUACUUAUGUUGUUGAUUGGUAUCAAUAUUUGUUCUAACUAUUGAUCAUUUUUAUAGAUUUAAUCAUAUAUUAUAUUUCUUCUUUGUUUUUUUCCUUUCUAUUCAUAAUAAAGUAAAAUUU
rnacentral:misc_RNA from 1 species